UUUUUCCUACGGGAGGCAGCAGUGGGGAAUAUUGGACAAUGGGGGGAACCCUGAUCCAGCCAUGCCGCGUGUGUGAAGAAGGCCUUAUGGUUGUAAAGCACUUUAAGCGAGGAGGAGGCUACUUUAGUUAAUACCUAGAGAUAGUGGACGUUACUCGCAGAAUAAGCACCGGCUAACUCUGUGCCAGCAGCCGCGGUAAUACAGAGGGUGCGAGCGUUAAUCGGAUUUACUGGGCGUAAAGCGUGCGUAGGCGGCUUAUUAAGUCGGAUGUGAAAUCCCCGAGCUUAACUUGGGAAUUGCAUUCGAUACUGGUGAGCUAGAGUAUGGGAGAGGAUGGUAGAAUUCCAGGUGUAGCGGUGAAAUGCGUAGAGAUCUGGAGGAAUACCGAUGGCGAAGGCAGCCAUC
rnacentral:rRNA from 1 species